rnacentral:rRNA from 1 species
AUACGGAGGGUCCAAGCGUUAUCCGGAAUCAUUGGGUUUAAAGGGUCCGCAGGCGAUCAAUUAAGUCAGAGGUGAAAGCCCAUCGCUCAACGAUGGAACUGCCUUUGAUACUGGUUGACUUGAGUUAUACGGAAGUGGAUAGAAUAAGUAGUGUAGCGGUGAAAUGCAUAGAUAUUACUUAGAAUACCGAUUGCGAAGGCAGUCUACUACGUAUAUACUGACGCUGAGGGACGAAAGCGUGGGGAGCGAACAGGAUUAGAAACCCCAGUAGUCC